GAAAAAUCUCACUCAAUUAAUCCAAGUGAAAAAAGACAGAAGAUCACGUGAAUAUGAAGGAAACGCAGCAUGAUCCAAGGAUGGAAGUAAGCGAAGAAAAGAUACUGGAAAUAGUAGCAGUGAGCUCAAUGGUAUUAUGUUUUCUAUUGAUUAUCUUUCCAGCACUAAAGACAUCAUCAUGCUGUGGUAAAUUCAUUACAGAUAAUGUUGGAGGAAUUUCAGUGAUUCCCUUAGUUCUUGUUUCACUUUUCCAAAUGAUGAUAAUUGUUAUUAUGACAUGCCGCCCAGUUAACAAGAACAUUAACAAGAACAUUUUUACAAUCUUAUGCAUAUUGCUGCUAUUAACUGUAACAUCAGUUAUAGAAAUCAGCAUUCUUUCCCUGGUUAGUGCAAUGUACACUUUCUUCGUAAGCGCAUUCACAACUGCAUUGGUUGUUUCUCAUAACUGGAAAGAGAUCUGUAAUGUAGAUUUAGUAGUUUUGAAGAGACUUCGAAAAUUUAUAGCACCGAUUUGUAUCAUUUCUUUGAUUUGGAAUGUUAAUCGCAUAUUUCAUGCGUUGAAUCCUUAACUCCAUUUU